UUAAAGCAGAAUGAAAAUAACUCAAAGCAAGGCAUGAUACCUUCUAUAGUCUUAAUUGUUGAAUGAUAAAAUAGACCAGGAGUACAUUAUGAAGGAAAGGACCGUUGUACAUUGGUAUUAAGCAUAGUUUGCAAGAAAAGAGAUAAAUGUGGUACAUAUGUUUUUACCAAUAAUAACAGUGGGGUGUGUGCAUGAUACAGAAUAACAUCCAGUCUGUCUGGUAGCACCGAUGUAGGAUACACAUAUAUUUAGACUACAAUAGGCAAGGGGUGGCAUUUUUAUAUAGACAUUGACUGCCUGAUAUGACCCAUCCAGAACACACAUAAUCUACAAUAGGGGCAGAACAGAUGCAUAUUUGCACCAACUCAGAAAGCAUGGCAAUAACUCAAUCUCUCAUCAUGCCAUCGAUAUUGCAUGGGAGGGGUCCCAUCUCAUCCUUCAUCUUUUUCACUUGGGGAUAUCAAACUCAAUCUCUCAUCAUGCCCACAAGACAUCUCAGACACUCAGUAGCAGCACUUUGCAUGGCCUCAUUAACAUCAGUAGCUGGUCUCCGCCAUAAUUUUUUAUCAGUUCCAAUGAAUGCCACAAGUAGACAGUAGCACCCUUAAACACGAUGGCACAUGCAAGUCAUUUACUUUGCAUCGAGCAAACCCAUCUGAGCAAGAACAACAUUGAGAAUGGCCUUUGGGAUGACCUUGAUAGCAUCCUUCCCUUUAAGAAUACAGUGCAUUUAGUAGAAGAAGGUAAACAUGUGUAUACCUACUUAUGAAUAACCUAUCUUAUAAGAAAAUGGGAAUGAACAGAACAAUAUAAGUUUCAGUACUCGACACACAACAUAAUCAUGUUUGUGCUCCAAGCAUACCACAAUCCAUAGCAAUAAUCCUGAAUGCGCGAUUACCCAAGAAAUAUCAAUAUGUGCAUUCAAGAAUACUCAUGACACAUAUCUUACUGGGGUAGGCCAAGCAUCAAGGAGCUAGCAAGGGACGCAUCCAUGAGAGGCAUGGAUAGAGAAAAUAUUGACUGCCCUACAAUUGUUUAGUGACCUAAUCAUGCAAACAACACAUGCAUACAUGUCAAACCUAUGGUGAUACCACAUACAUGUCAAACUGUGCCAAAAAACACUUUCUGGAAAGAGUUAAUGUAAACUCAAGUAAAUCUCUCUUCAAAGGUGAAAAUUUGCUCUACGACAUCAAUCAUUAGGAUAUACUUUCCUAUCACUUACAAAGGAGCAGGGGAAGCUCCUCUGUCUAAGGAUGCAUACCUAACAUAGCAGAAGACGGUGCCACACAAAUAAAUAUAUCACAAUCCCUCUGAUUGCAAACUUAUAGAUUUCAGUGGUAGUGACAUCAGUAAAACCGGUGGAUAUUAGAACAUCAGAGGGCCUAUCUAAAUUUCAAAAGAAAUAGCUAUAGUAUGAGCACAUUUAAGAUCUGAAAACCCAAAACAAAUUCCACUUGUCCAUUAAACUCUAAUGAAUUACAUGCUUUCACCUCCACAUCAAUUCUCACAUGGUAUAAAAAGAUCAAAAAUCACGUGCAAGUACUGUAUUAAGUGUUGUUUUACCACUGACUUUAUUACAAAGCUCGAGGAGGCCUCCACCAGCGUUGUGGAAUUAAUCAAUUUAUCAUAGGCACUGCAAAAUAGCAAAUCAUGUAGAUGCACCUCUCACUCCACUUUCUUAUAAGUACUUCUCAAACUAUAAUUGUUUGUGGCAAGACACCCUUCCUAUCCCACUAAACCAAGCUAUACCCAUAUCUUCAUUCAGAGCCCGUAAGCAUUCAGAUCAAGGUAUUCACCAUUUUUCUUAAUGCAUAAUAAACUAAAUCAAUAUAUUUGCAAAAGAGACAAAAAGUAUUCAAUAAACAUGCAACGUUUCUGAUCAGAACAAUCAUGGUAUCAUAAGCACAAAAUGUUUCAGAGCAAUGUACAAAAGAUAAAAGACUACAAUCCAAGGGAAAAGGAAAACCAAUUUGAGGUUGAAGCUAUCAAUUUAAGUAUAUAACCAACAAUGUUAGCUAUAACGUUUUGGGAUGCAACUUAUUCAGUUUGAACUAUGAACUUGCAAUCUAAUAGAGUAAUCAGAUUGAGAAGAGAAAACUAACUCACGUGAGAGUGGCCCAAUACUUGUAGUGUUCAGUUCUGCAUCAUUGUCUGUGAGACAAAAUACAAACACACAAAAGGCAGUAAGCACAUGGAUAACAAAGAUACUGAAUUGGGGCUUGAAAAAAUGAAAAUAAAACAUAGAAGGAUGCUCAAAAGAGUAUAAUAAAAAUGCAACAAAACAAAAGACUUCUUAAUCAUCUUGUCAUCAUACAAUGAAACUCAGGUCUUCUUUUCAUAACAAACACAAUCCUUUUGCAUGUGUACAUAGAAUUGGAAGUACUGAUUUACCUUUAGUUGCCUCCGGUGCACACCAUCAGUACCCUCUCAGAUUCAUGACAGAAAGUCAAGCCUGUGCAUAUGAUUAGACCAUGUACUCAACCCAUGGAUUUCGAGUCGCUCGACUAGUCGCGACUAGUCGACGACUAGUCUAUGAGUCGCAAAAAUAUGGUCGACUCAGCUUAGUGUCGACUCGCGACUCAGAGUCGCGACUAGUCACAACGCAGGCUCGACUUCUUCCGAGUCGCUGCCCCAAAGCGACUCGCAUGAGUCGCGACUCAAAAACCAUGACUCAACCUAGAAUAAUCAAACUUCUCCCAGUUUUUCACAAUUUAUAUGUGUACAUAAGAGUAGUUAAAACAGAGAUUGAAAUGGGCAUGCAGAAUAGAUUAUCUGCCGGCAUAUAAAAGUGGAGAAUUUUUGAAAAAUAAAUAUUCAUAACAGGAAUCAUGAACACACCAAAUAAGUUUCACAUUUCAUAUAAUUUCUUACAAAGCAUAAUUCAAAUAAAGUUAAGAUAGGACAAGAAAGUCAGAUAAUUUACAAUAGGAGAAGAGGAUAGCCCUAAAAAGCUUUGAAACUUCAUGCCUCACGCAUCCCAUACUCUUUGCAAUGGGCUAAAUCUAAAAUACAUAUCACCGAUGAUUCUAUUCUCAAAUCAAACAAAACAAAAGGCAAAGGGGCAGCAAGGCUUGAUUACAUAUCCUCUAAACUCCUCCAUAUCUGGGCUCCAAGGACUAUAGAGAAAGGGAGCUAAGCCAUCGACACACUAUCCCUUCCCGAUCCCGAGCGGACAGAUAACUAUUUCUCAAAUCAAGGGAAGCAACUCCAAGAAAUAGAAAAACAACUUGUGGACAUCAUUUUAUUUAGUCAGUGAGUUGGAAAGAUACCUACUGAACUUACACGACUCAAGAGAAUAUUCCAGCUUCCACCAAAGAAUUUUUUGUCACCUUAGCCCUACGAAAAAUCACAUGCAAUAGUUAACAAUGAAAAAAUAUACUAGAUGAAAAUAUGUGUGCCCAGAUUGUGAGCCUAAGCACAAGGGAAACAAAAAACAUCAAAGAUUGUGCUCAGAAUAUAACAGCAAUCUUAUGAACAAAGUAUGUAACUGCAGUAAAAAAACAAAGUUAGAAUAGUGAAUUGGCUUCUUAUACUAACAGUGAGAUCCUGCAUUGCCCGCUUGUAAAGAGAGUGCAUAUCGUGUGUUUCUAUGCAGACUGGAUAUAGAAAAAUGACUGCAACAUGUUGUUUGCUGCAUACAACCUCAUAAAAAUGGCAUAACUAAUGCAAGUAUGUUUUAGUGUCAACUGGAACGAAUAUAAAACUCCAAUAACAAAUUUGCAAGUUUGGAGCAAAUAUAACUUAUUUUGUUCAUGUCUUCGAGAAACACUUAUUUUGUUCAUGCCUAUAAUAUAAUUAUGGCACAACCCUAUAUGUCUUCCACAAAAAAAAUAGAGAGGAAAGCAAUCACAUUAAUAAUUUUAUAGGAAAACGAUGGAAACAACUCACUUCUAGUUUUCAUAGUUAGAGUUGCAGGUAACCAUCAUAUGAGAGUACUCUUAUAUAUUUGAACAUCGUCAGUCAAUCGGGAGCUCUGUUGGCAUACAUCAUGGGAACCGUGUAUUACGAAACCUAAGCAACUAAUGUACUCCAUGUACCUGAUUGUACGACCAUGGCAAAACGUUAUUUUUAAAUCUGACUAUCCGAUACAAUAUACACUGUAGGCAAUGUUUCCUGGCCUAUGAGUUGGCUGUGGAGAGAAGUACUAUGUUCACCCCUUCUCUGUGCCCGUGACGAAUCCAGUGAUGGCAAAAAGUAAAAAAAAAAAACAAAUAGAAAUGCAAAGAGGUGAUGCCCGCAAGUUCUGGCUCGUGAGACCGUGAGAACCAUCGUGGAGUCCAUCCCAUGCACACCCUCGGAUCCGAUUCUUUGUGUGAAAGCCAAAGGCCCGGUCGGGUCGGGCCACAGCGUCAGCAUCAUCGCCACGCAUGGUAUAAAUACUGCAGAUCUAUACCCUGAAGAAGGCUACUGUUAUUGCAUAUGUGUUUCAAUUUUUCAUUUACAGAUCUCUGCAAAAAUCAAAAAAGUUGCCGUGAAUUCACUCCAAGUAAUGAAGCUUACAGAGAUAGCGAGAGUAAAAGAUAGGACUGUAGUGUGACUCGCCCUUGAGAAUCCCCGGGCAUAUGUAGAGUUAUCAAUUUGGGAAGAGUGAAUGGAAUUGAACUAACCAGGAAGCCAAAAUGACGUCUAUCAACCCUCCCAGUCUCGCCAUUGAACCAACCAGGCAACUAAAAGCAGAUCAGAGGUCGCCUCUAGGGACUCUAGCAGCGCCACCAUCAGCUGUUCUCUGCCGCUUUCGUUGUUCCAGGCCAAGAAGACAGAUGAGAUGAGGAGGAUGGGAAAGAGCAACAGUAGUUGGAUCUGUUUCGGUGGCCUGCCAGCGUGAGGAAACUUCGUUCGUUAGGGAAGGGAAGAAAGCAAAUGGUUCGAGGCACGUGGAGGAGGAGAGGGGAGCAGACCUUGAAGAGAUCCAUGGUGGCGUCGGAGCUGAGGAGGGAGGAAGACCGGCAUCAAAGCCCACCCACCGGACGGCCAGGCAGUCAUCACCCGACAAAGGAAGCAGUUGAACCCCUCAUCCACCUCUUACGGCGUGCGAUUGUGGAUCUUGCGGAGCUCGACAGAAACCACACAAAGGGAGGAGGCGGGCUUGGUCUUCCGGGAGCGCUGCUGCGGCCGGCGGAUCGGGCAGCGCCAUGGCCAUGGCCGUCGGCUGACCUGCGGCCGUGGUGGACGAAGUCCGCGUCCACCUGCAUCUUGACACCGCCAUCAGAUGCUCUCCACAGCUUCCCAUGUUCCAGGCCAAGAAGACGGACGAGACGAGGAGGAUGGGGAAGAGCAACAGUGGCCGGAUCUGUCUCGGUGGCCUACCUGCGUGAGGAAACGUGACGGAGCGGUGGCCUGAGUUCGACGAUGGGGAGGAGAAGACGUCUCGCAGCUGUCGGGGGCGCCGCCAGGAAGGGGAGCGGGGGAGGAGGACGAGUGGGAGAGGGCGGCGGCUAGGGUUCCCGCGAGGGAGGAAUGGGAACAAGGAGCAGGGCUGUCGCUCUCCCUCACUAGCAGUCAAGGUGUGUU
rnacentral:lncRNA from 1 species